GCUCGCUUAACUCAGUUGGUAGAGUGCGUGACUAGUAAUCACGAAGUCGCUAGUUCAAAUCUGGCAGUGAGCA
rfam:Penicillium brasilianum genome assembly, contig: SCAF2